rnacentral:rRNA from 1 species
CAGUCGCCGCGGUAAUACAGAGGAUGCAAGCGUUAUCCGGAAUGAUUGGGCGUAAAGCGUCUGUAGGUGGCUUUUCAACUCCGCCGUCAAAUCCCAGGGCUCAACCCUGGACAGGCGGUGGAAACUACCAAGCUGGAGUACGGUAGGGGCAGAGGGAAUAUCCGGUGGAGCGGUGAAAUGCGUUGAGAUCGGAAAGAACACCAACGGCGAAAGCACACUGCUGGGCCGACACUGACACUGAGAGACGAAAGCUAGGGGAGCAAAUGGGAUUAGAUACCCCAGUAGUCCCUGUCUCUUAUAC